rnacentral:rRNA from 1 species
UGGGGAAUAUUGGACAAUGGGCGCAAGCCUGAUCCAGCCAUGACGCGUGAGUGAUGAAGGCCUUAGGGUUGUAAAGAUCUUUUAGCGGGGAAGAUAAUGAAGGUACCCGCAGAAAAAGCCCCGGCUAACUUCGUGCCAGCAGCCGCGGUAAUACGAAGGGGGCUAGCGUUGCUCGGAAUUACUGGGCGUAAAGCGCACGUAGGCGGACUCUUAAGUCGGUGGUUAAAUCCUGGAGCUCAACUCCAGAACUGCCUUCGAUACUGGGAGUCUUGAGUUCGGGAUAGGUUAGUGGAACUGCGAGUGUAGAGGUUAAAUUCGUAGAUAUUCGCAAGAACACCAGUGGCGAAGGCGGCUCACUGGCCCGAUACUGACGCUGAGGUGCGAAAGCGUGGGGAGCAAA